GGACUACUGGGGUAUCUAAUCCUGUUUGCUACCCACGCUUUCGUGUCUCAGUGUCAGAAAUGGUCCAGAAAGCUGUCUACACCACGGGUGUUCCUCCUGAUAUCUACGCAUUUCACCGCUACACCAGGAAUUCCGCUUUCCUCUCCCAUCCUCAAGCAUUCCAGUUUCCGCCGCACCCUCCCAGUUAAGCCGGGAGAUUUCACAACAGACUUGGAGCACCACCUACACACUCUUUACGCCCAGUAAUUCCGAACAACGCUUGCUGCCUACGUAUUACCGCGGCUGCUGGCAC
rnacentral:rRNA from 1 species